UGUGUAGGUGGCGCCGUAAGUCGGGUGUGAAAUCUCGGGGCUUAACUCCGAAACCGCAUUCGAUACUGCGGUGCUUGAGGACUGGAGAGGAGACUGGAAUUCAUGGUGUAGCAGUGAAAUGCGUAGAGAUCAUGAGGAAGACCAGUGGCGAAGGCGGGUCUCUGGACAGUUCCUGACACUGAGACACGAAGGCCAGGGGAGCAAACG
rnacentral:rRNA from 1 species